CUGGUGUACCAGUUGUGCCGCCAGGCGCAUCGCUGGGUAGCUAUGAACGGCAGGGAUAAACGCUGAAAGCAUCUAAGUGUGAAGCCCCCCUCGAGAUGAGAUUUCCCAUUCCUAUAUGGAAGUAAGACCCCUGAGAGAUGAUCAGGUAGAUAGGCUGGAAGUGGAAGUGCAGCGAUGCAUGGAGCGGACCAGUACUAAUCGGUCGAGGACUUAACCAAG
rnacentral:rRNA from 1 species